AAAUUGUCACGCAGAGAAAAGUGUAUACAAAAUGGUUUUUGUCUGCUGGGUUUGGACCGGCAAGCGGAGACCUGGGACCGUGGGAACAGUGAUGUGGAGUGAAUGCCUGUUUCCUUGGGUGUGAAGACCAUGCCUUGCUACUCUGAGGUUCGGCACUGGGGAAGCAAGAGCUGCUGCCCAUGAGGUAAGAGUCCGUGUGCAGAGCUUUUGUGCCAGACCCUGUCUGUGAAGCAGAUGCCGUUAGUACUGUAAGCGUCUACGGUGACCCUCCAACCCUGGGUGACGUUUUUGCUUGACCUCCAUCUGAGGCAGCCGAAGGGUCAGUGUAAAGUGAUGAGCGUCCACUCCUACAGAAGCUGUCCUGCGCAAGAUUGGAGUUUACCUUUUUUCUUU
rnacentral:lncRNA from 1 species